UGGUGGCCUUGUCCCUGGCGGCUCUGGGAUGUGGGCCAGAAGCCAGUCCCUGGUGUUGAAAUAGGAUCCAAAGAACAGCUCAACUCCGAAUAGGCGCGUUUCCAUCGCCGCCAUAGCUGGUGGCCGUCAGAUUGGACAGCACGGUAGAGGUGGGUCAGGAAAGGCAAGGAGAGCACUUUCGGAAGCAUCUGGAUCCUGGGCCCUCGGGGAGGGCGGGGCCUGGGUCCUGAUGUGAGGAACCUGUUCCUGGAGCCUGUCUGUGGCCGAGAGGGCCUCCUUCCUGGCUGACACAUCACCUGCUCCGUCCAGGCCACGAGAAGCAGCUGUGGCCCAAGCCCAUGACCCUGCCUUUCUUCCCCAGGUGCAUGUCACCCUCUGUGGCAGCCUGGGAUACGCACGAGCUCCUCAGGAGGGCGGAGCUCCGUGGAACACACAUCUGGAUGACAGGAGGGAGCCAGGAGCUGUGAGAAGAGGGGGAGCUGCCACCGCAAGAAUGCAAGGCCCAUGGGCUCUACGAUGUGGGGGAGCAGCGGGCAUCUGAGGAAGGGGCGUCAGGGGCACAUGGCCAGCCCUCUUCACCCCACAGUCUGCCCCAGGCCAGCCCCACUAGGAGUGACCCAUUUUCUCCUAGCAGGAUUCCUUGCAUGGGGUGGCCUGGACCCAAAACUCCCGCUCUGAGGAUUCCCUGUCAACCACAGAGAAGGUUAACUCAAGUUUCUUUAUUUGGCCAUGAAAUUUUGGGGCAUCUCACGGUGCUUCUUGGGUCCACUGGAGAGCCCUGGGAGCUCAGAAGAGGCAAGAGGGGCCUACUUCUCCGUUGUUUGGGCUUUGCUAAAUACCAAUAUUAGAUUAGGCAACGCUGCAAACAAAACCAAGGCCUGGCCAGCUGCCCAGGGUGUUUAAAGGCCAACGGAUGAAGGCAGGACGUGUGCCCGUGGACUUGCACACUCAAGCAGGCCGAGGGGAGAGCAGCCCGGCGGAGACCUUGGUGGUCCGGGGCUGAGCAAGGCUUCCCCCACCGACCAGUCCGUCCCAGUGCGCUCAGCACAGGAGUUAGCGGCCGCACAUUCAGCCAUUGUCUUAUUUUAGAAAAUGACAUCCGCUGGGUGCGGUGGCUCACGCCUGUAAUCCCAGCAUUUUGGGAGGCCGAGGUCAGGAGUGAUCCACUUUGGGUGGACCACAAGGUCAGGAGUUCAAGACCAGCCUGGCCAACACGGUGAAACUCCGUCUCUACUCAAAAUACAAAAAUCAGCCAGGCGUGAUGGCUCACACCUAUAAUCCCAGCUAUUUGGGAGGCUGAGGCAGGAGAAUGGCUUGAACCUGGGAGGCGGAGGUUGCAGUGAGCCAAGAUUUCGCCACUGCACUGCAGCCUGGGCGACAGAGCGAGACUCCGUCUCAAAAAAAAAAGAAGAUGACAUCCAUGAUGUUAAUAAAAGCGGACGUAUUAGGGGAA